rnacentral:rRNA from 1 species
UACGGAGGGGGCUAGCGUUGUUCGGAAUUACUGGGCGUAAAGCGCACGUAGGCGGCUUUGCAAGUUAGAGGUGAAAGCCCGGGGCUCAACUCCGGAAUUGCCUUUAAAACUGCAUCGCUAGAAUUGUGGAGAGGUAAGUGGAAUUCCGAGUGUAGAGGUGAAAUUCGUAGAUAUUCGGAAGAACACCAGUGGCGAGGGCGGCUCACUGGCCCGAUACUGACGCUGAGGUGCGAAAGCGUGGGGAGCAAACAGG